GAGUUUGAUCCUGGCUCAGAUUGAACGCUGGCGGCAGGCCUAACACAUGCAAGUCGAGCGGUAGAGAGAAGCUUGCUUCUCUUGAGAGCGGCGGACGGGUGAGUAAUGCCUAGGAAUCUGCCUGGUAGUGGGGGAUAACGCUCGGAAACGGACGCUAAUACCGCAUACGUCCUACGGGAGAAAGCAGGGGACCUUCGGGCCUUGCGCUAUCAGAUGAGCCUAGGUCGGAUUAGCUAGUUGGUGAGGUAAUGGCUCACCAAGGCGACGAUCCGUAACUGGUCUGAGAGGAUGAUCAGUCACACUGGAACUGAGACACGGUCCAGACUCCUACGGGAGGCAGCAGUGGGGAAUAUUGGACAAUGGGCGAAAGCCUGAUCCAGCCAUGCCGCGUGUGUGAAGAAGGUCUUCGGAUUGUAAAGCACUUUAAGUUGGAGAAGGGCAGUAAAUUAAUACUUUGCUGUUUUGACGUUACCGACAGAAUAAGCACCGGCUAACUCUGUGCCAGCA
rnacentral:rRNA from 1 species